GUGGUCCCAGUAGGUAUGAACUCUUCAGCCAUCCAUUUAUUCCUACCGAUUGUCCCUUGCGGGGGUGCUGGAGCCAAUCUCAGCUGCACUCGAGCAAAAGGCAACUGUAUAUAUAAUUUUAACAAGACGUAAAAUGGGGAAGAGAGGGUAUCCGGUGUAGAGCUCAGCCAGGAUGCAGCCCAGACUCCACAUGUCAAUGGCCAUGCUGUAGGGGUGACCCAGGAUGACCUCUGGGGAGCGGUAGAAGCGGCUCUGGAUCAUCUGCAGGCACCUGAGGAGAGCGUGGGUGAAGCGACGGAUGAGAGCCACACUGAAGCCCUGGAAGUUGUUUUUUUUGAUGAGCUCGUAUAAGUUGACCCUGACGAGAGAAAUGAC